GACGAACCGAGCGAACGUUGUUCGGAAUCACUGGGCUUAAAGGGCGCGUAGGCGGGCUGUCAAGUCUGGGGUGAAAUCCCGCGGCCCAACCGUGGAACUGCCUUAGAUACUGACGGCCUCGAGGGAGAUAGGGGCGAGCGGAACUGUGAGUGGAGCGGUGAAAUGCGUUGAUAUUCACAGGAACUCCGGUGGCGAAGGCGGCUCGCUGGAUCUUUUCUGACGCUGAGGCGCGAAAGCUAGGGGAGCAAACGGG
rnacentral:rRNA from 1 species